GCCGGCGUAGCUCAGCGGCAGAGCGGGGCAUUCGUAAUGCUCAGGUCCGGGGUUCAAAUCCCCGCGCCGGCUCCA
rnacentral:tRNA from 4 species